UACGGGGGGGGCAAGCGUUGUUCGGAAUUACUGGGCGUAAAGGGCUCGUAGGCGGCCAACUAAGUCAGACGUGAAAUCCCUCGGCUUAACCGGGGAACUGCGUCUGAUACUGGAUGGCUUGAGUUUGGGAGAGGGAUGCGGAAUUCCAGGUGUAGCGGUGAAAUGCGUAGAUAUCGGGAGGAACACCGGUGGCGAAGGCGGCGAUCUGGGUCGAUACUGACGCUGAGGUGCGAAAGCGUGGGGAGCAAACAGG
rnacentral:rRNA from 1 species